AUGAAGGCCUUCGGGUUGUAAACCGCUUUCAGGAGGGACGAAAAUGACGGUACCUCCAGAAGAAGGCCCGGCCAACUACGUGCCAGCAGCCGCGGUAAUACGUAGGGGCCAAGCGUUGUCCGGAUUUAUUGGGCGUAAAGGGCUCGUAGGCGGUUUGACAAGUCGGACGUGAAAACCCGGGGCUCAACCCCGGGACGCCGUUCGAAACUGUCAUGACUAGGGUCCGGUAGAGGUGAGUGGAAUUCUCGGUGUAGCGGUGAAAUGCGCUGAUAUCGAGAGGAACACCAGUAGCGAAGGCGGCUCACUGGGCCGGUACCGACGCUGAGGAGCGAAAGCGUGGGGAGCAAACAGGAUUAGAUACCCUGGUAGUCCACGCCGUAAACGUUGAACACUAGGUGUGGCGAGUUAAUCCAUACUUGCCGUGCCGCAGCUAACGCAUUAAGUGUUCCGCCUGGGGAGUACGGCCGCAAGGCUAAAACUCA
rnacentral:rRNA from 1 species